CGUCCAACUCAUCUUUAUCCCGAAUAGGACCUCCUCUCUUCUAUCUUCUUAUCCAUUUCUUCCCCAGCCCGAUCCCUCUCCUCUCCUAGACAUCACGGGGGAGCCCCCAUAGCUCAUUUCCCAUUUAGAGCCUCCACCCUCGCCGAAGCUUCGUCGGAGAUCGCCGUCGCCGAGCUCCACCGUCUAGCCAUCAUCUUCUUCCCCGGGAUCGAAGUUUUCCCCAAGUUUCCUCAAGUUCUUCUUCCUCUACUUCAAGGACAAGAGACCGAAGCACCAACUCAAGUGGAGGUUGAGACCGAGCCGGAGUCCAUCGUCGACGACACUUCUUUGGUGAACCAAGGUGAGCCUCAGCAAGAGCCCGUCUUUGGGUACUUCUACCUCGUGGACGGUGGAGCGGAUGAGAGCUGAAGGCCGGUGGUUGAAGUAGAGCACUAUCUCCAUAUAGUGUUCUCUUCUAGGUUGUAUCCGUAGAGACAUAAUUAAUUAAUUUCGUUGCAAAACUCUGAACUUGUAAUGUAGUCACUUGAAUCUAUUUAUGUAAGAGACUUCUAUGUAUGAAUAUGCUUGUAUGUGAUGAUAUUCUCAAGUUGUGCUUAGUGAGGUGUGUCA